rnacentral:rRNA from 1 species
CCUACGGGGGGCUGCAGUGGGGAAUAUUGGACAAUGGGGGAAACCCUGAUCCAGCAAUGCCGCGUGUGUGAAGAAGGCCUGCGGGUUGUAAAGCACUUUCGGUUGGGAAGAAAAGUUUGGCGCCAAUACCGCCGAACCUUGACGUUACUGACAGAAGAAGCACCGGCUAACUCUGUGCCAGCAGCCGCGGUAAUACAGAGCGUGCAAGCGGGGCGCGGAAUCACCGGAGGUGGAGCGUGCGUUCGGGGGUGAAAUCCCCGGGCUUAACCUGGGAACUGCAUUCGAUACUACAUGGCUAGAGUAUGGUAGAGGGAAGUGGAAUUUCCGGUGUAGCGGUGAAAUGCGUAGAUAUCGGAAGGAACACCAAUGGCGAAGGCAGCUUCCUGGACUAAUACUGACACUGAGGCACGAAAGCGUGGGUAGCAAACAGGAUUAGAUACCCGUGUAGUC